rnacentral:rRNA from 1 species
AACACAUGCAAGUCGAGCGGAAACGAGUUAUCUGAACCUUCGGGGAACGAUAACGGCGUCGAGCGGCGGACGGGUGAGUAAUGCCUAGGAAAUUGCCCUGAUGUGGGGGAUAACCAUUGGAAACGAUGGCUAAUACCGCAUAAUACCUACGGGUCAAAGAGGGGGACCUUCGGGCCUCUCGCGUCAGGAUAUGCCUAGGUGGGAUUAGCUAGUUGGUGAGGUAAUGGCUCACCAAGGCGACGAUCCCUAGCUGGUCUGAGAGGAUGAUCAGCCACACUGGAACUGAGACACGGUCCAGACUCCUACGGGAGGCAGCAGUGGGGAAUAUUGCACAAUGGGCGCAAGCCUGAUGCAGCCAUGCCGCGUGUGUGAAGAAGGCCUUCGGGUUGUAAAGCACUUUCAGUCGUGAGGAAGGUAGUGUAGUUAAUAGCUGCAUUAUUUGACGUUAGCGACAGAAGAAGCACCGGCUAACUCCGUGCCAGCAGCCGCGGUAAUACGGAGGGUGCGAGCGUUAAUCGGAAUUACUGGGCGUAAAGCGCAUGCAGGUGGUUUGUUAAGUCAGAUGUGAAAGCCCGGGGCUCAACCUCGGAAUAGCAUUUGAAACUGGCAGACUAGAGUACUGUAGAGGGGGGUAGAAUUUC